CUCCGGGGUCGGAGAGGGGGGCCAGGGCCUCCUCGAGCGCGGCGCGGCGCUCGGCGAACGGCCGGUCGACGUACGACUCGUCGCCCAGGGC
rnacentral:tRNA from 1 species